CGCGGGGUAGAGCAGUUGGCAGCUCGUCGGGCUCAUAAUCCGAAGGUCACAGGUUCGAGUCCUGUCCCCGCCACCA
rnacentral:tRNA from 1 species